UACGAAGGGGGCUAGCGUUGCUCGGAAUCACUGGGCGUAAAGGGUGCGUAGGCGGGUCUUUUAAGUCAGGGGUGAAAUCCUGGAGCUCAACUCCAGAACUGCCUUUGAUACUGAAGAUCUUGAGUUCGGGAGAGGUGAGUGGAACUGCGAGUGUAGAGGUGAAAUUCGUAGAUAUUCGCAAGAACACCAGUGGCGAAGGCGGCUUACUGGUCCGGUUCUGACGCGUGAGGCGCGAAAGCGUGGGGAGCAAACAGG
rnacentral:rRNA from 1 species